UACUUAGGAAUCUACCUAGUAGUGGGGGAUAGCUCGGGGAAACUCGAAUUAAUACCGCAUACGACCUACGGGAGAAAGGGGGCAACUUGUUGCUCUCGCUAUUAGAUGAGCCUAAGUCGGAUUAGCUAGAUGGUGGGGUAAAGGCCUACCAUGGCGACGAUCUGUAGCUGGUCUGAGAGGAUGAUCAGCCACACCGGGACUGAGACACGGCCCGGACUCCUACGGGAGGCAGCAGUGGGGAAUAUUGGACAAUGGGGGCAACCCUGAUCCAGCCAUGCCGCGUGUGUGAAGAAGGCCUUUUGGUUGUAAAGCACUUUAAGCAGUGAAGAAGACUCUAUGGUUAAUACCCAUAGACGAUGACAUUAGCUGCAGAAUAAGCACCGGCUAACUCUGUGCCAGCAGCCGCGGUAAUACAGAGGGUGCAAGCCGUUAAUCGGAAUUACUGGGCGUAAAGCGAGCGUAGGUGGCUUGAUAAGUCAGAUGUGAAAGCCCCGGGCUUAACCUGGGAACGGCAUCUGAUACUGUUAGGCUAGAGUAGGUGAGAGGAAGGUAGAAUUCCAGGUGUAGCGGUGAAAUGCGUAGAGAUCUGGAGGAAUACCGAUGGCGAAGGCAGCCUUCUGGCAUCAUACUGACACUGAGGUUCGAAAGCGUGGGUAGCAAACAGGAUUAGAUACCCUGGUAGUCCACGCCGUAAACGAUGUCUACUUAGUCGUUGGGUCCCUUGAGGACUUAGUGACGCAGCUAACGCAAUAAGUAGACCGCCUGGGGAGUACGGCCGCAAGGUUAAAACUCAAAUGAAUUGACGGGGGCCCGCACAAGCGGUGGAGCAUGUGGUUUAAUUCGAUGCAACGCGAAGAACCUUACCUGGUCUUGACAUAUCUAGAAUCCUGCAGAGAUGCGGGAGUGCCUUCGGGAAUUAGAAUACAGGUGCUGCAUGGCUGUCGUCAGCUCGUGUCGUGAGAUGUUGGGUUAAGUCCCGCAACGAGCGCAACCCUUGUCCUUAGUUACCAGCGGUUUGGCCGGGAACUCUAAGGAUACUGCCAGUGACAAACUGGAGGAAGGCGGGGACGACGUCAAGUCAUCAUGGCCCUUACGACCAGGGCUACACACGUGCUACAAUGGUAGGUACAGAGGGCAGCUACACAGCGAUGUGAUGCGAAUCUCAAAAAGCCUAUCGUAGUCCAGAUUGGAGUCUGCAACUCGACUCCAUGAAGUAGGAAUCGCUAGUAAUCGCGGAUCAGAAUGCCGCGGUGAAUACGUUCCCGGGCCUUGUACACACCGCCCGUCACA
rnacentral:rRNA from 1 species